GGCGGACGGGUGAGUAACACGUGGGUAACCUGCCUGUAAGACUGGGAUAACUCCGGGAAACCGGAGCUAAUACCGGAUAGUUCCUUGAACCGCAUGGUUCAAGGAUGAAAGACGGUUUCGGCUGUCACUUACAGAUGGACCCGCGGCGCAUUAGCUAGUUGGUGAGGUAACGGCUCACCAAGGCGACGAUGCGUAGCCGACCUGAGAGGGUGAUCGGCCACACUGGGACUGAGACACGGCCCAGACUCCUACGGGAGGCAGCAGUAGGGAAUCUUCCGCAAUGGACGAAAGUCUGACGGAGCAACGCCGCGUGAGUGAUGAAGGUUUUCGGAUCGUAAAGCUCUGUUGUUAGGGAAGAACAAGUGCAAGAGUAACUGCUUGCACCUUGACGGUACCUAACCAGAAAGCCACGGCUAACUACGUGCCAGCAGCCGCGGUAAUACGUAGGUGGCAAGCGUUGUCCGGAAUUAUUGGGCGUAAAGGGCUCGCAGGCGGUUUCUUAAGUCUGAUGUGAAAGCCCCCGGCUCAACCGGGGAGGGUCAUUGGAAACUGGGAAACUUGAGUGC
rnacentral:rRNA from 1 species